rnacentral:rRNA from 1 species
UACGAAGGGGGGCUAGCGUUGCUCGGAAUUACUGGGCGUAAAGGGCGCGUAGGCGGCACUGUUAGUCAGGCGUGAAAUUCCUGGGCUCAACCUGGGGACUGCGCUUGAUACGGCAGAGCUUGAGGAUGGAAGAGGGUCGCGGAAUUCCCGGUGUAGAGGUGAAAUUCGUAGAUAUCGGGAGGAACACCGGUGGCGAAGGCGGCGACCUGGGUCGAGACUGACGCUGAGGCGCGAAAGCGUGGGGAGCAACAGG